AGAGUUUGAUCCUGGCUCAGGAUGAACGCUAGCGGCAGGCCUAAUACAUGCAAGCCGAACGGUAAGAUUGGUAGCAAUACUGAUCUGAGAGUGGCGUACGGGUGCGUAACACGUAUGCAACCUACCCGGAACUGGAGGAUAGCUCAGGGAAACUUGGAUUAACCCUCCAUAAGAUCGUGCUCAGGCAUCUGGGAGCGAUAAAAACCGCAAGGUGGUUUCGGAUGGGCAUGCGCAUGAUUAGUUAGUUGGUAGUGUAACGGACUACCAAGACGAUGAUCAUUAGGGGACCUGAGAGGGUGAUCCCCCACACUGGCACUGAGAUACGGGCCAGACUCCUACGGGAGGCAGCAGUAGGGAAUAUUGGUCAAUGGGUGCAAGCCUGAACCAGCCAUGCCGCGUGCAGGAAGACGGCCUUCUGGGUUGUAAACUGCUUUUGCCAGGGGAUAAAAGGCCCAUGCGUGGGACAUUGAAGGUACCUGGUGAAAUAAGCCACGGCUAACUACGUGCCAGCAGCCGCGGUCACCUACAAUCACUAGU
rnacentral:rRNA from 1 species